GGUGAGGUGGCCGAGCGGUCUAAGGCGCCAGACUAAGGAUCACAUUGAGUUUCAAUGAGUACAUCUGGUCCGAAAGGGCAUGGGUUCGAAUCCCAUCCUCAUCA